UCAAUAGUUCAAUUGGCAGAACGACGGUCUCCAAAACCGUAGGUUGAGGGUUCGAUUCCUUCUUGGCC
rnacentral:tRNA from 1 species